rnacentral:rRNA from 1 species
UAGGGAAUCUUCGGCAAUGGGGGCAACCCUGACCGAGCAACGCCGCGUGAGUGAAGAAGGUUUUCGGAUCGUAAAGCUCUGCUGUAAGAGAAGAACGAGUGUGAGAGUGGAAAGUUCACACUGUGACGGUAACUUACCAGAAAGGGACGGCUAACUACGUGCCAGCAACCGCGGUAAUACGUAGGUCCCGAGCGUUAUCCGGAUUUAUUGGGCGUAAAGCGAGCGCAGGCGGUUAGAUAAGUCUGAAGUUAAAGGCUGUGGCUUAACCAUAGUACGCUUUGGAAACUGUUUAACUUGAGUGCAGAAGGGGAGAGUGGAAUUCCAUGUGUAGCGGUGAAAUGCGUAGAUAUAUGGAGGAACACCGGUGGCGAAAGCGGCUCUCUGGUCUGUAACUGACGCUGAGGCUCGAAAGCGUGGGGAGCAAACAGGAUUAGAUACCCUGGUAGUCCACGCCGUACACGAUGAGUGCUAGGUGUUGGGUCCUUUCCGGGACUCAGUGCCGCAGCUAACGCAUUAAGCACUCCGCCUGGGGAGUACGACCGCAAGGUUG